UACGUAGGGGGCUAGCGUUGUCCGGAUUUAUUGGGCGUAAAGAGCGUGUAGGCGGCUUUGCAAGUCCGUUGUGAAAACUCGAGGCUCAACCUCGAGACGCCGGUGGAAACUGCAAAGCUAGAGUCCGGAAGAGGAGAGUGGAAUUCCUGGUGUAGCGGUGAAAUGCGCAGAUAUCAGGAAGAACACCCGUGGCGAAGGCGGCUCUCUGGGACGGUACUGACGCUGAGACGCGAAAGCGUGGGGAGCGAACAGG
rnacentral:rRNA from 1 species